GCCAAAAUAACAUAAUUUGGUUAGUGUUUUGAACUCAUAAUUCAACUGUAAAGGUUCAAAUCCUUUUUUUGGUU
rnacentral:tRNA from 1 species